ACACAUGCAGUCGAGCGGCAGCACAGAGGAACUUGUUCCUUGGGUGGCGAGCGGCGGACGGGUGAGUAAUGCCUAGGAAAUUGCCCUGAUGUGGGGGAUAACCAUUGGAAACGAUGGCUAAUACCGCAUGAUGCCUACGGGCCAAAGAGGGGGACCUUCGGGCCUCUCGCGUCAGGAUAUGCCUAGGUGGGAUUAGCUAGUUGGUGAGGUAAUGGCUCACCAAGGCGACGAUCCCUAGCUGGUCUGAGAGGAUGAUCAGCCACACUGGAACUGAGACACGGUCCAGACUCCUACGGGAGGCAGCAGUGGGGAAUAUUGCACAAUGGGCGCAAGCCUGAUGCAGCCAUGCCGCGUGUAUGAAGAAGGCCUUCGGGUUGUAAAGUACUUUCAGUCGUGAGGAAGGUGGUGUUGUUAAUAGCAGCAUCAUUUGACGUUAGCGACAGAAGAAGCACCGGCUAACUCCGUGCCAGCAGCCGCGGUAAUACGGAGGGUGCGAGCGUUAAUCGGAAUUACUGGGCGUAAAGCGCAUGCAGGUGGUGGAUUAAGUCAGAUGUGAAAGCCCGGGGCUCAACCUCGGAACCGCAUUUGAAACUGGUUCACUAAAGUACUGUAGAGGGGGGUAGAAUUUCAUGUGUUGCGGUGAAAUUGCGUAGAAAUCUGAAGGAAUACCUGUGGCCCAAGCUGCCCCCUGCUCUAUA
rnacentral:rRNA from 1 species